rnacentral:lncRNA from 1 species
CACUUUGUCGAAGUUAAAAAUUAGCACUCUCUUUUUUUCUUCCUUUUUCGGCUAGAUCUCUCACACGGAAAAAAAUCGGUCGGGUGAAAUUCCUGAUCCCCGGUGGGAAUGAGUGCGGUAGGGACGCCUCCCAGCGCCGGUAGGCGUGUCGGCUUACCUACUCGGCGUGUCGUUCAGGUAGCACCCGGGUGACAGCGCCACCGGUCGGUGAUAACAGUGAAUCCGUAUAAUUCCCGGACUAGCCGGUAGGGAUCACGCCGGUCGCUGCUACCAACGCCGGUUGUGACGUAAUGUUUACCUCAUCCUCAGUGUUUUGAUUCAGUGAGUGUUCGUGUUUGUGUGGAAGUUUAGAUAAAUUAGCUAAUGGAUGAGGCUACGGCGGAAUUCCUUCGGCACAAUAAUUUAGCCGCUUAUCUGGCAGCUUGCGAAGAGGCUGGCAUCUCUGCCUUAGAACUACGGCUUCUUGACAAAGAGUCAGCAAAGGAACUCAUACCCAAGUUGGGGGAUCGGCUUCGUUUUUUAAAUGCUUUGGAAGGCUUCCAAAAUCCUGAUGGUCUUAUUAAUAAUUUAAUGGUGCGUAUUCAAAGUUUUGGAAAAAUUCAUUAAAAGGUCUUAUAUAAUUUUAUUUUGAAAAGAAUGAGAAGACACAUAAAUUUGCAAGAAAAUCAAGAUAAAAAAGUAAUACUUUAUUAUACUCUUUAAAAAUCUCAUGUACAAAGCUUGAAUUUGCCAUAUUGGAUUACAAUGAAACUUUAUGCCCUUUAUUGCUCUAUACUGCUCGCAAAUAGUGCUUUAGAACACCAGAGAGUUUACUGGUACAAACUUUAAAUAUUUUCCCUGAAAAUAAUGCCCUGUUCACUCCGAAGCAACUCAUAUAUCCCCUGUCUUCUCAUGCACGCGCCAGUUUGAGCUUUUGUUAAUUUUUUAGAUUUUUCUUGCAUGGAUAUUUAUUUUGUAGUUUUUGCUGCUGAUGCCAGGGUGCCUUUAUCCUAAUCCUGAAAUUUGAUGUAAACAAUGUAA